rnacentral:rRNA from 1 species
AUUGAACGCUGGCGGCAGGCUUAACACAUGCAAGUCGAACGAGUGGCGGACGGGUGAGUAAUGCUUGGGCAUCUAGCUUAUGGAGGGGGAUAACUACGGGAAACUGUAGCUAAUACCGCGUACCAUAGGAUGAGCCCAAGUGGGAUUAGGUAGUUGGUGAGGUAAAGGCUCACCAAGCCGACGAUCUCUAGCAGGUCUGAGAGGAUGACAAGCCACACUGGGAAUGAGACAGGGCCCAGACUCCUACGGUAGGCAGCAGGGGGUAAUAUUGAGCAAUGGGGGCAACCUGACGCAGCCAUGCCGCCUGAAUGAAGAAGGCCUUCGGGUUGUAAAGUUCUUUCGGUAGCGAGGCGUUAACUACAGAAUAAGCACCGGCUAACUCCGUGCCAGCAGACGCGGUAAUUC